rnacentral:rRNA from 1 species
UACGUAGGGGGCUAGCGUUGUCCGGAAUCAUUGGGCGUAAAGCGCGUGUAGGCGGUCCGGUAAGUCCGCUGUGAAAGUCGGGGGCUCAACCUCGGAUGCCGGUGGAUACUGUCGGGCUUGAGUACGGAAGAGGCGAGUGGAAUUCCUGGUGUAGCGGUGGAAUGCGCAGAUAUCAGGAGGAACACCGAUGGCGAAGGCAGGACUCCGCUGGGACGGUAAGCUGA